rnacentral:rRNA from 1 species
AACGAACGUUGAUGGCGUGCCUCAUACAUGCAAGUCGAGCGCCCCGCAAGGGGAGCGGCGAACGGGUGAGUAACACGUAAGGAAUCUGCCCUGAAGCGGGGAAUAACUAUCCCAACGGAUAGCUAAUACCGCAUAAUGAUGGAGACGGCAUCGUCUCUUCUCAAAAGGCUUCGGCCACUUCAGGAUGACCUUGCGUCCCAUUAGCUUGUUGGCGGGGUAACGGCCCACCAAGGCUACGAUGGGUAUCCGGCCUGAGAGGGUGUACGGACACAUUGGGACUGAGAUACGGCCCAGACUCCUACGGGAGGCAGCAGUAGGGAAUUUUGCGCAAUGGGGGAAACCCUGACGCAGCAACGCCAUGUGUGGGAUGAAGCAUUUCGGUGUGUAAACCACUGUCAGCAGGGAAUAAACGAUAGCUUCGGGCUAUUUUGAAUGUACCUGCAAAGGAAGCCCCGGCUAACUUCGUGC